UACGAAGGGGGGCUAGCGUUGCUCGGAUUGACUGGGCGUAAAGGGCGCGUAGGCGGUUCGUACAGUCAGACGUGAAAUUCCUGGGCUCAACCUGGGGGCUGCGUUUGAUACGUGCGGACUUGAGUGCGGAGGAGGGUCGUGGAAUUCCCAGUGUAGAGGUGAAAUUCGUAGAUAUUGGGAAGAACACCGGUGGCGAAGGCGGCGACCUGGUCCGAUACUGACGCUGAGGCGCGAAAGCGUGGGGAGCAAACAGG
rnacentral:rRNA from 1 species